rnacentral:rRNA from 1 species
AGCGAACGUUAGCGGCGGGCCUAACACAUGCAAGUCGAGCGAGAAAGGGGGUUCGCCCCCGAGUACAGCGGCGGACGGGUGAGUAACACGUAGGUAAUUUUCCCUUGAGCGGGGGACAACGUUCCGAAAGGGACGCUAAUACCGCAUAAGUUCUUGGGUGCUUCGGCACUGGAGAGGAAAGCUAGGCCGCAAGGUCUGGCACUCGAGGAGAAGCCUGCGUCGCAUCAGCUAGUUGGUGGGGUAAUGGCCUACCAAGGCAAAGACGCGUAGCUGGUCUGAGAGGAUGAUCAGCCACACUGGGACUGAGACACGGCCCAGACUCCUACGGGAGGCAGCAGUGGGGAAUAUUGGGCAAUGGGCGAAAGCCUGAUCCAGCAAUGCCGCGUGAGUGAUGAAGGCCUUAGGGUUGUAAAGCUCUUUUACCCGGGAUGAUAAUGACAGUACCGGGAGAUAAGCCCCGGCUAACUCCGUGCCAGCAGCCGCGGUAAU